rfam:Thauera sp. 63 Cont6, whole genome shotgun sequence.
GCUUUGUGCCUGAAAGGGCGACGGCGCUGAGCCGGAGCGAGAAGUCAGCAGAGGCCAUAGUAGCCGUUGGUUUUGGGCGAAGGGC